CGUUCACUUUAUUGAUAUAUGGGCAAUUUUUUAUUUCAUUGUCAGUAUGGUUUUUAUGCAUGUCCUACCCAGUUCAUAGGGUAUUUCUUAAACAUUUAAUGUGUUUAGUUUAAACGUUUGAUUUUGUCUUUGUAGUAGACUUUAUUGGCUUUCGGAAUUUAUACAAAUUAUUAGUGUUACUCAAUUUUUUUUAAUAAAAUUACUUUAUUUAUGA